AUACUUAACCUGCCCAGGGAGAUACCACCCUCGCCAAGGCGGUUUUCCCAGGGUGAGGCUUACCCAUUGCACUCCGGAUGUGCUGAUGCCGGCGGAUUUCCCUGAAUGGGGGAAACUUGACUGCAUAAUUUGUGGUAGUGGGGGCUGCGUUUGCGCUUUCCCUGA
ensembl:snRNA U1 U1 spliceosomal RNA